rnacentral:lncRNA from 1 species
AAACAUUCACAGUGCAGGUGGAAAAAGUAUGUGAACCCUUGGAUUUAAUAACUGGUUGAAACUCCUUUGGCACCAAUAACUUCAACCAAACGUUUCCUGUAGUUGCAGAUCAGACGUGCACAACGGUCAGGAGUAAUUCUUGACCAUUCCUCUUUACAGAACUGUUUCAGUUCAGCAAUAUUCUUGGUAUGUCUGGUGUGAAUCGCUUUCUUGAGGUCAUGCCACAGCAUCUCAAUCGGGUUGAGGUCAGGCCUCUGGCUGGGCCACUUCAGAAGGCGUAUUUUCUUCUGUUUAAGCCAUUCUGUUGUUGAUUUACUUCUAUGCUUGGGGUCAUUGUCCUGUUGCAACAUCCAUCUUCUGUUGAGCUUCAGCUGAUAGACAGAUGGCCUUAAGUUCUCCUGCAAAAUGUCUUGAUAAACUUGGGAAUUCAUUUUUCCUUCGAUGAUAGCAAUCUGUCAGAGCCCUGACGCAGCAAAGCAGCCCCAAACCAUGAUGCCCCCACCACCAUACAGUUGGGAUGAGGUUUCGAUGUUGGUCUGCUGUGCCUUUUUUUCGCCACACAUAGUGUUGUGUGUUUCUUCCAAACAACUCAACUUUGGUUUCAUCUGUCCACAGACUAUUUUGCCAGUACUGCUGUGGAACAUCCAGGUGCUCUUGUGCAAACUGUAAAAGUGCAGCAAUGUUUUGUUUGGACAGCAGUGGCUUCCUCUGUGGUAUCCUCCCAUGAAAUCCAUUCUUGUUUAGUGUUUUACGUAUUGUAGAUUCGCUAACAGGGA